rnacentral:lncRNA from 1 species
UCACAAUGUUUAUCAUUGUAACUAUACAGCAAUAAAACUUUAUGAACAAACUCUAUAUGAUUACUCACUUUAACUUUUAUCUUUAUUAUACUUUUUUCUUAUGAUUUAUCAUACUGUCAAUAACAUUUUUUCCCUUUUUAUUACCUCUUUUGUUGUCUAUAACCCUUUAUCUUUUCUAUUGUUUCUUCUACUGUUUAUGCUAUUUUUUUUUUCUUUUUAUUACCUCCUUUAAUCUCUAUAACUCUCUCCCUCUUCUCUGUGAUUUUUCUUAUGCUAUAUAGCAUUUUCUUUUUCUUUCUAUCAGUUAUAUUAUCUAUAACUCUUUUGUACAUCUAUAUAUACCAC